UGCGUAGGUGGCGCUGUAAGUCGGGUGUGAAAUUUCGAGGCUUAACCUCGAAACUGCAUUCGAUACUGCGGUGCUUGAGGACUGGAGAGGAGACUGGAAUUCAUGGUGUAGCAGUGAAAUGCGUAGAGAUCAUGAGGAAGACCAGUGGCGAAGGCGGGUCUCUGGACAGUUCCUGACACUGAGCACGAAGGCCAGGGGAGCAAACG
rnacentral:rRNA from 1 species